rnacentral:misc_RNA from 1 species
CGCGAUUCCUAAGUCCAACCCGGAAACUUGAGGCCACGGGCGUAAAUGAAAAUCACAGCCCCUUGUGAAUUGUGACUCGAUCCGAUUCUUACCUGUUUCUCCGCCCAGGAUCCAAUUACUUAACUACUUCGAUUUCAUUGCCUUCAAAUCGAAGCAAACCCCUUGAUUCUUUUGCUAUUUUCUGUGCAAAAAGAACUCAAACAGAUCUUCACAGGGAAUAAAGGAAAAUACAGAAGAAAAAUGGCGGGACGGUUUGGUUCUGCACCCUCGACGAUGAUCGUGACCAACACUCCAGCGUCGGAUCUCGCUCUCACCAACCUCGCCUAUUGCUCAGCGUCCGAUCUACACAACUUCGCCGUCCCUGGAACCAAGUUCUUCAUGGCGUUAAUCGACGAUUCCUUUGUUUUAUCUCUUUCUCCUCACGAAAACAUUCGUCCAAGUAAUAUUGCCCUGAAUGCUAUUCAACGUCGGCAUGCAAGGGUUUCUACUGGAGACUCCAUUUCUGUGAGCAGGUUUAUCCCUCCUGAAAAUUUUAACCUUGCAUUGCUGACACUUGAGUUAGAAUUUGUGAAGAAGGGCACUAAGAAUGAACAGGUGGAUGCUGUUUUACUGGCCAACCAACUCAGAAAGAGAUUUAUUAACCAGGUUAUGACGACAGGGCAAAGAGUAUCAUUUGAGUAUCAUGGGAACAAUUAUAUUUUUACUGUCAAUCAAGCUGUUGUAGAGGGCCGAGAGAAAUCUAAUGAUUUUGAAAGAGGGAUGGUUUCAAGUGACACCUACUUCAUCUUUGAAGCAUCAAAUUCAAGUGGCAUAAAGAUUGUUAAUCAACGUGAAGCUGCCAGUAGCAACAUCUUUAGGCAUAAGGAAUUUAAUCUUGAGUCACUGGGUAUAGGUGGCUUAAGUGCAGAGUUUGCAGAUAUAUUUCGAAGAGCUUUUGCCUCUCGAGUUUUUCCUCCCCAUGUGACAAGCAAAUUGGGGAUUAAGCACGUAAAGGGAAUGCUACUUUAUGGGCCUCCUGGUACUGGAAAAACUCUCAUGGCUCGUCAAAUUGGGAAAAUGUUGAACGGGAGGGAACCAAAGAUUGUUAAUGGCCCUGAAGUCCUGAGCAAGUUUGUUGGUGAAACUGAAAAGAAUGUUAGAGACCUGUUUGCUGAUGCUGAAAAUGAUCAGAGGACACAUGGGGACCAAAGUGAUUUGCAUGUAAUAAUUUUUGAUGAGAUUGAUGCUAUAUGUAAGUCAAGAGGAUCAACAAGAGAUGGCACAGGAGUUCAUGAUAGCAUUGUGAACCAGCUGCUUACAAAGAUAGAUGGUGUGGAGUCUCUGAAUAAUGUUUUACUUAUUGGAAUGACCAACAGAAAGGAUUUGCUUGAUGAAGCACUUUUGAGACCUGGACGAUUGGAAGUUCAAGUUGAGAUAAGCCUUCCUGAUGAAAAUGGUCGUCUGCAAAUUCUUCAAAUUCAUACAAACAAGAUGAAGGAGAAUUCUUUUCUUGCUCCUGAUGUGAACCUUCAAGAGCUAGCUGCUCGGACCAAAAAUUACAGUGGGGCAGAACUUGAAGGUGUUGUAAAAAGCGCAGUAUCAUUUGCUUUGAAUAGACAACUAAGUUUGGAUGAUCUUACUAAGCCAGUAGAUGAAGAGAGUAUUAAAGUUACAAUGGAUGAUUUCCUACAUGCACUCCUAGAAAUUGUUCCUGCAUUUGGGGCCUCCACUGAUGAUCUUGAACGAUGCAGACUUAAUGGCAUGGUGGAAUGUGGUGAUCGACAUGACCAUAUUUAUCAUAGAGCUAGGCUACUGGUGG